CGUAAAAUUACUUUGUGUUCAAGUUGACAAGUCUAAUAUUAUAGUCUAACUUUGUACGUCAACCCUAGAUUUUUAGUUUUCGGAAUUGGUUGUCGAGCAUCUAGUUUACGAAAAACUCAAAGCAUUAGGGUUAGCAGUUGAGUAAAAAAACAUGAAAACGAUUUGCAUCUUAUUGAUCUCCUUCAGCAACUCUGCAGCUGAUCGUCAGUUGACAAAAAGUAAUGGAUUACAUUCGUGCAAUGGCAUUCUUGGUGAGGGUUGAACGAAGCUAGAAAAAAACAAUCUUUCUGAGGAACAACUACAGGUGAAUGCCGUUUCAGCAGUAUUACGGUACAAGGUAAUUGGUUCAUUAAUUGUACAGUUCCAAGACCAGGUUGUUUGUAAGAUAUCCCGCUAAAACAUUCGAACUCCUUUGAUAUAGAAGUAUUAAUUAGUGCGUGUGAAUGCUGGGUGUCGUGCAAACUUUUUCAACCCACUUAUGAGUUUUUACGCGUAGCAAUGUCAGCCUCAAGUGUGUCAAGCUAGGAUUGUGUAUCAUCACCGUGUUCCGCCGGACAUUGCACUAGAAAUCUGUAGGCAUUAUGAUUCCUUAAUCCCAGAUUCCGUCAUGUAGACGCUAUGGUUAAGAUGUAGCCAAGUCAUGCAGGCCUGUUUUUAACCAGCACAUUUUGGUUCUUGCAUUUAUUGAUAAUGUUCUAUUUCAUGUUGAGUAGUCAAUGAUUGCAAUAGGAAAUCGUGUGCAACAGCCUUCACCAUUUGGCACUACAUGUGUUUUGGGCUGGAUGGUAUUGGUUGUUUCAAGUUAAGCUUAGAAAAUUUCUUAUUUUAGCUAUGUAUGCAAUUUUUCAGCCAAUUGAUUUUAUUUAUUUACUUUUUUGUUUCGUUGAAAUCGAAGGAGUUGAUUUGCAAAUGGAUUUUCUCUUACUACAGCGAGCAACGUAAGUCGCUGAAAGAUGUUCAAUUUAUGCACUCCCCUUUGCCUUUCGUUUUGUUUUCCGCUUUUCCGAAGAACGUUACUCUUUCACAGAAGCCAGUAAUAUAUGUUGCGUGUUCUUCCGCCUCAUUACAUUCACUUUUCUUAAUAUUUUACCGUCUUUUAUAAUUUCCUUCGCUCUCAAUCGUUUGACUGUGUUGAUUCAUUUUUAAAAUGUCCCUGUCAUCCUUUUUUUGUCGUUUUCUUCGUGAAAUUUACAUCGACGAAAACACCACAGAGGCAUACACAACGUGAAACCUGUUCUAUGUACUGUACGUACAAUAUUUCUCAUGCUUUUGAAUCAUAUUAUACGGCCGCGAAUUGA